CAGUAGCCGCGGUAAUACGAGGGGAGCUAGCGUUGUUCGGAAUUACUGGGCGUAAAGCGCGCGUAGGCGGCUUUUUAAGUCAGAGGUGAAAGCCCGGGGCUCAACCCCGGAAUUGCCUUUGAAACUGGAAAGCUAGAAUCUUGGAGAGGUCAGUGGAAUUCCGAGUGUAGAGGUGAAAUGCAUAGAUAUGGUCAAGAGCUCCAAUUGCGAAGGCAGCCGGCUGGGCCAGCAUUGACGCCCAGGCACGAGAGUGCGGGGAUCAAACAGGAUUAGAGACCCCGGUAGUCCCUGUCUCUUAUAU
rnacentral:rRNA from 1 species